UACGGGGGGGGCAAGCGUUGUUCGGAAUUACUGGGCGUAAAGGGCUCGUAGGUGGCCAACUAAGUCAGACGUGAAAUCCCUCGGCUUAACCGGGGAACUGCGUCUGAUACUGGAUGGCUUGAGAUUGGGAGAGGAAUGCGGAAUUCCAGGUGUAGCGGUGAAAUGCGUAGAUAUCUGGAGGAACACCUGUGGCGAAGGCGGCAUCCUGGACCAACACUGACACUGAGGAGCGAAAGCCAGGGGAGCAAACGGG
rnacentral:rRNA from 1 species